rnacentral:rRNA from 1 species
UCAAGCUACAAAGAGCGCAAGGGGAAUGCCUUGGCACUGGGAGCCGACGAAGGACGUAGCGAUCUACGAUAAGCCACGGUGAGCCGAAAGCAGGCAUCGACCCGUGGAUUUCCGAAUGGGGCAACCUGGCUGAAUAGAACUCAGUCAACAUACGGUGAAUAAAAUAGUCGUAUGUAGGGAACCGCCUGAACUGAAACAUCUAAGUAGGGCGAGGAAAAGAAAUCAACCGAGAUUCCGCAAGUAGUGGCGAGCGAACGCGGAAGAGGCCAAACCGAGAGUAGUAAUACUUUCGGGGUUCGGACAGAAUACGGUAUUGUAAAGGUUUAGUGGAAUGGAAUGGGAAGUCCAACCGAAGAAGGUGAGAGUCCUGUACACGAAAAGCCUGAACAGCCAUCUGUAUCCAGAGUACCGCCGGACACGUGAAACCCGGUGGGAAUACGGGGGGACCAUCCUCCAAGCCUAAAUACUACUCGGUGACCGAUAGUGAAGAAGUACUGUGAAGGAAAGGUGAAAAGUACCCCUGAUGGGGAGUGAAAAAGAACCUGAAACCUUGUGUUUACAAGCACCGAAAGCUCAUCAAAGAGCGAUCGGGUACCUUUUGUAGAAUGGUCCGGCGAGUGAAUGUAACCGGCGAGGUUAAGCACUUAAGGUGUGAAGCCGCAGCGAGAGCAAGUCUGAAUAGGGCGUAUGAAGUCGGUUGUAUUCGACCCGAAACCGGGUGACCUACCCAUGGUCAGGUUGAAGUAAAGGUAAAACUUUAUGGAGGACCGAACCGACUCCCGUUGAAAUGGUAGCGGAUGAACUGUGGGUAGCGGAGAAAUUCCAAUCGAACCCGGAGAUAGCUGGUUCUCCCCGAAAUAGUUUUAGGACUAGCCUCAAGUUAGAUACCUGGAGGUAAAGCACUGAAUAGCCUAGCGGCCGAGAGGUUAGCGAAGCUUAUCAAACUCAGAAUGCCAGAGUAUUGAUGCUUGGGAGUCAGACAGUGUCAGAUAAAUGUCAUUGUCAAAAGGGAAACAGCCCAGAUCUACAGCUAAGGUCCCAAAGUCAGGUUAAGUGGAAAACGAUGUGAAGAUACGUAGACAACCAGGAUGUUGGCUCAGAAGCAGCCACUCAUUCAAAGAGUGCGUAAUAGCUCACUGGUCGAGCGUCUUUGCGCGGAGAAUUUAACGGGGCUAAACCUGACACCGAAGCUUAGGCAAUGUAGUAAUACAUUGGGUAGGGGAGCGUUGUAUACGCGGUGAAACAGUAGCGCAAGCGGCUGUGGAGUGUAUAGAAGUGAGAAUGCCGGAAUGAGUAGCGCGAAUGCAGUGAGAAUCUGCAUGGCCGAAAGCCUCAGGUUUCUGGAGGAAGGUUCGUCCGCUCCAGGUUAGUCGGGAGCUAAGGUGAGGCCUAACGGCGUAGCCGAUGCACAGACGGUAGAGAUUCCGUCACCACCAAAAGAGUUAAACACAGGGACACAUUUGAAGUCUCGGAGCCGGGUGUUGGUUCCGGUAGCGAUCGAGGGAAAUUAGUACCGAAGUCCGGGAUGGAAGAUGGCGAGAAAAGCUGUGUGUAUUUCUGCGGUGCCCGUACCGCAAACCGACACAGGUAGGUAGGAAGAAGAUUCUAAGGCCAACGGGAGAAGGGUUGUUAAGGAACUCGGCAAAUUGACCCCGUAACUUCGGGAGAAGGGGUGCUCCAGAGAUGGAGCCGCAGAGAAUCGGCCCAAGCAACUGUUUACCAAAAACACAGGUUUGUGCUAAAUCGAAAGAUGACGUAUACGAGCUGACGCCUGCCCGGUGCUGGAAGGUUAAGAGGAGAUGUGCAAGCAUUGAAUCGAAGCCCCAGUGAACGGCGGCCGUAACUAUAACGGUCCUAAGGUAGCGAAAUUCCUUGUCAGGUAAG